rnacentral:misc_RNA from 1 species
GAUGAAGAACGUAGCGAAAUGCGAUAAGUAAUGUGAAUUGCAGAAUUCAGUGAAUCAUCGAAUCUUUGAACGCACAUUGCGCCCCUUGGUAUUCCGAGGGGCAUGCCUGUUCGAGCGUCAUUAUAACCCCUCAAGCUCAGCUUGGUGUUGGGGCCUGCCGCACGGGCAGCCCUUAAAAUCAGUGGCGGUGCCAUCUGGCUCUAAGCGUAGUAAUUCUUCUCGCUAUAGAGUCCCGGUGGAUGCUUGCCAUUAACCCCCAAUUUUCUAUGGUUGACCUCGGAUCAGGUAGGGAUACCCGCUGAGUUUAAGCAUAUCAAUAAGCGGAGGA